GGUUAAGCGACUAAGCGUACACGGUGGAUGCCCUGGCAGUCAGAGGCGAUGAAGGGCGUGCUAAUCUGCGAUAAGCGCCGGUAAGGUGAUAUGAACCGUUAUAACCGGCGAUACCCGAAUGGGGAAACCCAGUGUGAUUCGUCACACUAUCAUUAACUGAAUCCAUAGGUUAAUGAGGCGAACCGGGGGAACUGAAACAUCUAAGUACCCCGAGGAAAAGAAAUCAACCGAGAUUCCCCCAGUAGCGGCGAGCGAACGGGGAGGAGCCCAGAGCCUGAAUCAGCAUGUGUGUUAGUGGAAGCGUCUGGAAAGGCGCGCGAUACAGGGUGACAGCCCCGUACACAAAAGCGCAUGUGCUGUGAGCUCGAUGAGUAGGGCGGGACACGUGGUAUCCUGUCUGAAUAUGGGGGGACCAUCCUCCAAGGCUAAAUACUCCUGACUGACCGAUAGUGAACCAGUACCGUGAGGGAAAGGCGAAAAGAACCCCGGCGAGGGGAGUGAAAAAGAACCUGAAACCGUGUACGUACAAGCAGUGGGAGCACAGGUUUACCUGUGUGACUGCGUACCUUUUGUAUAAUGGGUCAGCGACUUAUAUUCUGUAGCAAGGUUAACCGAAUAGGGGAGCCGGAGGGAAACCGAGUCUUAAUUGGGCGUUAAGUUGCAGGGUAUAGACCCGAAACCCGGUGAUCUAGCCAUGGGCAGGUUGAAGGUUGGGUAACACUAACUGGAGGACCGAACCGACUAAUGUUGAAAAAUUAGCGGAUGACCUGUGGCUGGGGGUGAAAGGCCAAUCAAACCGGGAGAUAGCUGGUUCUCCCCGAAAGCUAUUUAGGUAGCGCCUCGUGAAUUCAUCUCCGGGGGUAGAGCACUGUUUCGGCUAGGGGGCCAUCCCGGCUUACCAACCCGAUGCAAACUGCGAAUACCGGAGAAUGUUAUCACGGGAGACACACGGCGGGUGCUAACGUCCGUCGUGAAGAGGGAAACAACCCAGACCGCCAGCUAAGGUCCCAAAGUCAUGGUUAAGUGGGAAACGAUGUGGGAAGGCCCAGACAGCCAGGAUGUUGGCUUAGAAGCAGCCAUCAUUUAAAGAAAGCGUAAUAGCUCACUGGUCGAGUCGGCCUGCGCGGAAGAUGUAACGGGGCUAAACCAUGCACCGAAGCUGCGGCAGCGACACUGUGUGUUGUUGGGUAGGGGAGCGUUCUGUAAGCCUGUGAAGGUGUGUCGUGAGGCAUGCUGGAGGUAUCAGAAGUGCGAAUGCUGACAUAAGUAACGAUAAAGCGGGUGAAAAGCCCGCUCGCCGGAAGACCAAGGGUUCCUGUCCAACGUUAAUCGGGGCAGGGUGAGUCGACCCCUAAGGCGAGGCCGAAAGGCGUAGUCGAUGGGAAACGGGUUAAUAUUCCCGUACUUGGUGUUACUGCGAAGGGGGGACGGAGAAGGCUAUGUUGGCCGGGCGACGGUUGUCCCGGUUUAAGCGUGUAGGUGUGUGUUCCAGGUAAAUCCGGUUCACUUUAACACUGAGGCGUGACGACGAGGCACUACGGUGCUGAAGCAACAAAUGCCCUGCUUCCAGGAAAAGCCUCUAAGCAUCAGGUAACAUCAAAUCGUACCCCAAACCGACACAGGUGGUCAGGUAGAGAAUACCAAGGCGCUUGAGAGAACUCGGGUGAAGGAACUAGGCAAAAUGGUGCCGUAACUUCGGGAGAAGGCACGCUGACACGUAGGUGAAGUGAUUUACUCAUGGAGCUGAAGUCAGUCGAAGAUACCAGCUGGCUGCAACUGUUUAUUAAAAACACAGCACUGUGCAAACACGAAAGUGGACGUAUACGGUGUGACGCCUGCCCGGUGCCGGAAGGUUAAUUGAUGGGGUCAGCGCAAGCGAAGCUCCUGAUCGAAGCCCCGGUAAACGGCGGCCGUAACUAUAACGGUCCUAAGGUAGCGAAAUUCCUUGUCGGGUAAGUUCCGACCUGCACGAAUGGCGUAAUGAUGGCCAGGCUGUCUCCACCCGAGACUCAGUGAAAUUGAACUCGCUGUGAAGAUGCAGUGUACCCGCGGCAAGACGGAAAGACCCCGUGAACCUUUACUAUAGCUUGACACUGAACAUUGAGCCUUGAUGUGUAGGAUAGGUGGGAGGCUUUGAAGUGUGGACGCCAGUCUGCAUGGAGCCGACCUUGAAAUACCACCCUUUAAUGUUUGAUGUUCUAACGUGGACCCGUUACCCGGGUUGCGGACAGUGUCUGGUGGGUAGUUUGACUGGGGCGGUCUCCUCCUAAAGAGUAACGGAGGAGCACGAAGGUUGGCUAAUCCUGGUCGGACAUCAGGAGGUUAGUGCAAUGGCAUAAGCCAGCUUGACUGCGAGCGUGACGGCGCGAGCAGGUGCGAAAGCAGGUCAUAGUGAUCCGGUGGUUCUGAAUGGAAGGGCCAUCGCUCAACGGAUAAAAGGUACUCCGGGGAUAACAGGCUGAUACCGCCCAAGAGUUCAUAUCGACGGCGGUGUUUGGCACCUCGAUGUCGGCUCAUCACAUCCUGGGGCUGAAGUAGGUCCCAAGGGUAUGGCUGUUCGCCAUUUAAAGUGGUACGCGAGCUGGGUUUAGAACGUCGUGAGACAGUUCGGUCCCUAUCUGCCGUGGGCGCUGGAGAACUGAGGGGGGCUGCUCCUAGUACGAGAGGACCGGAGUGGACGCAUCACUGGUGUUCGGGUUGUCAUGCCAAUGGCACUGCCCGGUAGCUAAAUGCGGAAGAGAUAAGUGCUGAAAGCAUCUAAGCACGAAACUUGCCCCGAGAUGAGUUCUCCCUGAGACUUAAAGUCUCCUGAAGGAACGUUGAAGACGACGACGUUGAUAGGCCGGGUGUGUAAGCGCAGCGAUGCGUUGAGCUAACCGGUACUAAUGAACCGUGAGGCUUAACCUUACAACGCCGAAGAUGUUUUG
rnacentral:rRNA from 1 species